UGGGGAAUCUUGCACAAUGGGGGAAACCCUGAUGCAGCGACGCCGCGUGAACGAUGAAGCCCUUCGGGGUGUAAAGUUCUUUCGGCAGGGACGAUAAUGACGGUACCUGCAGAAGCAGCUGCGGCUAACUACGUGCCAGCAGCCGCGGUAAUACGUAGGCAGCAAGCGUUGUUCGGAAUUACUGGGCGUAAAGAGUGCGUAGGCGGUUGGCUAAGUUUGGUGUGAAAUCUCCCGGCUCAACUGGGAGGGUGCGCCGAAAACUGGCUGGCUAGAGUGCGGGAGAGGAUAGUGGAAUUCCUGGUGUAGCGGUGAAAUGCGUAGAUAUCAGGAGGAACAUCUGAGGUGUAGACGGCUAUCUGGACCGUAACUGACGCUGAGGCACGAAAGCGUGGGGAGCAAACAG
rnacentral:rRNA from 1 species